rnacentral:rRNA from 1 species
UACAUGGGGUGCAAACGUUUGCUCGGAAUUAUUGGGCGUAAAGCGCGCGUAGGCGGUUACUUAAGUCGGAUGUGAAAGCCCUCGGCUUAACUGAGGAAGUGCACCCGAAACUGCAGAGCUUGAGUGCCGGGAGAGGGUGGCGGAAUUCCCCAAGUAGAGGUGAAAUUCGUAGAUAUGGGGAGGAACACCGGUAGCGAAGGCGGCCACCUGGACGGCAACUGACGCUGAGACGCGAAAGCGUGGGGAGCAAAACAGG